rnacentral:rRNA from 1 species
UACGGGGGGUGCGAGCGUUGUCCGGAAUCACUGGGCGUAAAGGGCGCGUAGGUGGUCUGAUAAGGGUGUGGUGAAAGCCCGGGGCUCAACCCCGGGUCUGCCGUGCCGACUGUCAGACUGGAGUGCUGUAGGGGCAGGCGGAAUUCCGGGUGUAGCGGCGGAAUGCGUAGAGAUCCGGAGGAAGACCGGUGGCGAAGGCGGCCUGCUGGGCAGUUACUGACACUGAGGCGCGACAGCGUGGGGAGCAAACAGG